UCUUAGUGAUGUCAGGUUUCGACAAGUGU
rnacentral:piRNA from 1 species